rnacentral:rRNA from 1 species
GCAUGCCUACAACAUAGCGUUAAUGUGCCGGAUCCCAUUAGAACUCCGCAUUUAAGCACGCUUGAGCUGGAGUAGUAUUGGGAUGGGUGACCGCCCAGGAAGUCCUAGUAUUUUACAUGCC